rnacentral:misc_RNA from 1 species
UCUCUACUUGCGUAGGCAGUCUCACUAGAGUCCCCAACUGAAUGAUGGCAACUAGUGACAGGGGUUGCGCUCGUUGCAGGACUUAACCUAACACCUCACGGCACGAGCUGACGACAACCAUGCAGCACCUUGGAAAUUGCCCGAAGGAGGGUCUAUUUCUAGACCUGUCAAUUCCCAUUUAAGUCUUGGUAAGGUUCCUCGCGUAUCAUCGAAUUAAACCACAUAAUCCACCGCUUGUGCGGGCCCCCGUCAAUUCCUUUGAGUUUCAUCCUUGCGGACGUACUCCCCAGGUGGCUAACUUAUCACUUUCGCUUGGUCUCUGAAUCCGAAAGUCCAAAAACGAGUUAGCAUCGUUUACGGCGUGGACUAC